GCCCUGGAGAGGUGGUGCAGAAGAGGCACCUCACCCUUUUAUACCCACGCUCUGCUCUUCAGGUAAAAACCCCAGGACGGACUGCGCUGCCUUAGCAGACUAACGUCCAGAGCAGACUCUAACGUGAAAAGUUCCUUUCCUCCCCAUUCUUCGACUUCGGUUUUGUGGCUUGUUUCUUUCCGGUAGAAACACAGUAAAGUCGGGGGCACCUCUGUGAGUGAAGAAUUAGAAAAACCCUCCCUGCCGCCAGAGGUCUUCCCUGCACACCCGCUGAUGAGCGGAUUCUCCUUAUCGGCCCUCCUUCAGGCUGCCUCGGACUCUCGGACUCCACCCACUGGACUCCCGCCAGACCCCUAAGCUCCUCCGCAGGGGGCCCCAGCAGUGCCUAAGGCUGAUCUCAGGAGGGAAUCGGUGGGCCCAGGUUGACUGUGAGAGCUUUGAGAUUCCCACAAAUCUCUAACACCUUUUUUCCUGAUAAAACAAGUAUAAAAUGAACCCCUCCUGGUCGUCCUGCAGCUGGUGUGGGGCCAGCUUGGGAAGGAAAGAUAUCUAGUCUUUUCUGGUGUUCGUUAUGCACAGGAAACCACAAUUUCUAAUAAUGAUGAUGAUAAAUGAUAGUGAUAAGAUGAUAAGAAUGACCCCAAAGGGGUUGAGUUUCCUCUGGUUGCCAGUAUUGUGCUAAACACCUGGCGGGCAUGAGUCAUUUAAUCACCUCAAAAUCCCUGUAUGGAAUGCUGGGCUGUGUAUUGGUAGAGCGUUUGCCUUUCAUCUACCAGGCUCUAGGUCCCAGUACUAAAAGAAACAAGCACCCCCCUGACUCCAAAUGGACAACGUUGAAGCCCCUAUAAUACAAAGAAAACUGAAGCAAA
rnacentral:sRNA from 1 species